ACCAAUUUUUCAUUUUCUUCUUCGCAUGCUUUGGUUUCUCCGUCAAAGGGGAGAAAAUUCCAUCUUUCUCCGACGUCUCUCCGACUAAUACAAGUCGAUUCCGCAUGGUGAUCUCGUCAUCGAAUCAGGAGGUAAGAAAAAAAGAUGAAGAACUGGAAAAGCAAGUGGUGGAUCUCAAGAGCAAAAUCCGAGUGGAUCAUCAUCAUCUUAAUCAGUUUCCAAGUCUCAACCAAAGUUAACAAAUACGGCGAUGUUGGAUAAUGACGAAUUCAUUAGGAAAGCGACCUUGGUAGAUACCAAAUAAUGAUAUAUUUGUCCACCGAGUUCUUGUGGACAUAGUUUCAGCCUAUGAAAAUGCCACGGUUGGACAUAGGUUCACCGAGGUAAUAAUGUUUAUUAGUGGUGCUUUUUUCAGUUGCAUUUAUCAUUUGAAAUAUUGAUGUUUAUUAGCAGUGCUUUGAACUGACAUCUGGUUACCUUGCCGGUUAUGAACCAAACGGAUGACAUGCUUCUUUUUU